rnacentral:rRNA from 1 species
AAUAGAUACCCAGGUAGUCCACGCCGUAAACGAUGAGUGCUAAGUGUUGGGGGGUUUCCGCCCCUCAGUGCUGCAGCUAACGCAUUAAGCACUCCGCCUGGGGAGUACGGUCGCAAGACUGAACCUCAAAGGAAUUGACGGGGGCCCGCACAAGCGGUGGAGCAUGUGGUUUAAUUCGAAGCAACGCGAAGAACCUUACCAGGUCUUGACAUCCCGGUGACCACUAUGGAGACAUAGUUUCCCCUUCGGGGGCAACGGUGACAGGUGGUGCAUGGUUGUCGUCAGCUCGUGUCGUGAGAUGUUGGGUUAAGUCCCGCAACGAGCGCAACCCUUAUUCUUAGUUGCCAUCAUUCAGUUGGGCACUCUAAGGAGACUGCCGGUGAUAAACCGGAGGAAGGUGGGGAUGACGUCAAAUCAUCAUGCCCCUUAUGACCUGGGCUACACACGUGCUACAAUGGACGGUACAAACGGUUGCCAACCCGCGAGGGGGAGCUAAUCCGAUAAAACCGUUCUCAGUUCGGAUUGUAGGCUGCAACUCGCCUAC